rnacentral:rRNA from 1 species
AUUGAACGCUGGCGGCAUGCUUUACACAUGCAAGUCGAACGGUAACAGGGUGCUUGCACCGCUGACGAGUGGCGAACGGGUGAGUAAUGCGUCGGAACGUGCCGAGUAGUGGGGGAUAACGCAGCGAAAGUUGUGCUAAUACCGCAUACGUACUGAGGUAGAAAGUGGGGGACCUUCGGGCCUCACGCUAUUCGAGCCGCCGACGUCUGAUUAGCUAGUAGGUGAGGUAAAGGCUCACCUAGGCGACGAUCAGUAGCGGGUCUGAGAGGAUGAUCCGCCACACUGGGACUGAGACACGGCCCAGACUCCUACGGGAGGCAGCAGUGGGGAAUUUGGACAAUGGGCGAAAGCCUGAUCCAGCCAUGCCGCGUGUCUGAAGAAGGCCUUCGGGUUGUAAAGGACUUUUGUCAGGGAGGAAAUCCCUAGUGCUAAUAACACUGGGGGAUGACAGUACCUGAAGAAUAAGCACCGGCUAACUACGUGCCAGCCGCCGCGGUAA